ncrna:unclassified sequences RT-14 RNA
CUCUAAUAUCAUUUUCGAUGUAUUAUAGGUUUAAGGACCUAUGCCAAUAAAGUAUUAGAUAUUAAAGAAGUUUAUUCCUUCCUAUUAAAUGGUAAAAAUGAAUAGAAUUUUAGUGCGACUCUAGUAGGAAACGAACGAAACACUAAAAUG